AUGUUUCCAUUUUCGCAGGAAAUGAGGUCUGAUCAAGCAGCACUAAUACCUCCGGCCUUGGGGAGGGGGCGGGGACUCUCAGGGGCCUGUUCCUUCCCCCUGGAGGCCGGGCGGCGGGUGGUGCUGAAGCUUCAAGAAGGGUGGGACACCUUGGGGCGGCAGACACCCAGUCCUCCACUUCACCCAGUUUUCCCCAGAACCCUGGAUUCGUUCCAUUUCAGGGCACCCAUUCGGCAAGCCCACACUCUUCCGCAUCCUAGCGCGCUGGGCUUGGAGCGCCCGCCACGCUGGCGCUGGUGGGGGUGGGAGGCGAGGGUCUGGAGAGUUGAGGGGACGUUGCAGCCUCAAAGGAAGAUCCAACGUCCUUUCAAGCCCAACUACCCCCUUCCUAGGAGCUUGGCAACCUCCGAGGACGCUGCUAAGGGCUCCAGAGCUAGACAGGUGAAUGGUGUUGUCCAACUCUCCAGCUUCUUGCAAGUCAAAAUGUGGUCCUGGGACCAAGAGCGCCAGCAUCACCUGGGAGCCAGUUCGAAAAGCGGAAGCUCAGACCUGCUGAGUCAGAAUCUGCAUUUUGACCAGAUUUCAUGGAGUGAUUCUCGUGCACAGUGGAGUUGCAGGAGUUCAACUCGAGAUCUCUCUCCGCCACCCACAGGUAAGGGAAAGCCCUUGCUGACCCUGUUUGUAGGAAGCCACUUCCUCAGGGACACUGGGGGCGGGGACGCUUGCUUCAUUCCAGCCGGCAGCCUCUCUGGUUCUCCUUCAAAUCUCCUGGGCCAUCUCCCUUCCAAACCUUUCCUCCCCUUCCAACCAGA
rnacentral:lncRNA from 1 species